CCACGCUGAUCCUGCCAGUAGCAUAUGCUUGUACAAAAUAUUGAGCCAUCUACGUGUAAGGACACACUCCUGGUAUAGUCACACUGCAAAUGGCUCAUUGAAUUAGUUAUGGUUCCUUCAAUCUCUCCAUGAGUGACUUAGAUAACUGUGGUAAUUCUACAGCAAAUACAUGCUGACAAAUGCGGACCGAGAUGAGUGCAUUUAUCAGACCAAGACCAAUCCUGGCUUGCCCAGCCACUUUUGUGAUUCUAGCUAACCUUGGGCAGAUUGCACGUUUCAUUGACAGCGACUAUACAUUCUGAUGUCUGCCCUGUCUUCUUCCAAAGGUACUUUCUGUGCCUACCAUGGUGACCAUGGGUAAUGGGAAAGCAGGCUUCACUUCCAGAAAGGAAGCCAGAGAAACAGCUACCAAAUCCAAGGAAGGCAGCAGGCACGCAAAUUACCCACUCUCGACUCGGUGAGGUAGUAAUGGAAAAUAACAAUACAGGACUCUUUCAAGGCUCUGUAAUUGCAAUGAGUACACUUUAAAUCCAUUAAUGAGGAUUCAUUGGAAGGAAAGUCUGGUGCCAACAGCUGUGGUAAUUCCAGCUUGAACAGCGUAUAUUAAAGUUGCUGCAGGUGAUAAGCUUGUAGUUGGAGCUUGAGCUGGAGUUCUGGUGCAAGGCAUUGUAACGCCUGUCCCAGCCCCUUCUUUCGGCGUCCCCUUGAUGUGCUUGACUUUAUGUCUGUGGGUCAGUAGCAUUUACUUUGGAAACAAUAGAGUGUUUAAAGCAGGCCGGUCUCCUGAAUACUUCAGCUAGGAAUGAUGGACUAGUACUCUAGUUCUAAUGUGUUUGUUAUCGGAACUGGGGCCAUGAUUGAGAGGGAUGGUCAUGGGCAUUUGUAUUGUGCCGCAUGAGGUGACAUUCUUGAAACAUCGUACCUCAAUUCAUACACAAAGGCAACUAGCAGCGUUAUUCCCAUGACCCGCCGAGCAGCUUCCAGGAACCCAAAGUCUUUGGGCUCUGGGGGAGUAUGGUUGAAAAUCGAAAAUAUAAGGAAAUUGAUGGAAGUGCACCACCAGGAGUUGAGCCUGCGGCUUAAUUUAACUCAACACGGAAAACCUAACUCAGCCGCAACACAGAUAGAAUUGACACAUCAAUGGCUCUAUCGCUAUCCUGUGGUGGUGGUCCAUGGUCAUUCUCAGUUGGUGGAGCGAUUUUUCUGGUUAAUUCCGCUGAUGAUUGAAACACAUCCAUGCUGACUAGUAACGUGACCCCCAGCGGUUUGCGUUCAACUUCUUAGAUGGACAAGGGGCAUUCUGCCACUCGAGAUCCUGAAAUAGCAUGUCUGUGAUGUCCUUAGAUGUCCGGGGCUGUAAUUUCACUACAUUGAAUGGAUCAGCAUGUGUCUACCCUUCACAGACAGGUGCGGAUAACCCACUUUAUCCCAUUUGUGAUAUGGAUUGAGGAUUGCAAUUUUUCCCAUGCACAAGGAAUUCCCAGUAACUGUGGGUCAUAUGCCUGCGCUGAUUUAGUCCCUGCAGUUUGCACACACUGCCUAUUGCUACUACCAAUUGGAUGUUUCAGUGAGGUCCUCUGAUCAGACCCAAUGGGGUCGGCAACAGCCCUGGCAGAGCACUGAGAAGAUGAUCAAACUUGACUAUCUAAAAGAACUAAAAAUCAUAUCAAGUUUUUGUAGGUGAACCUGCAGAAG
rnacentral:rRNA from 1 species